rnacentral:rRNA from 1 species
GAUGAACGCUAGCGGGAGGCUUAAUACAUGCAAGUCGAGGGGUAACUGGGAGAAUUUAUUUUCCGCAGACGACCGGCGAACGGGUGAGUAACGCGUACAUAUCUACCUUAUACUGGGGAAUAGCCUUUGGAAACGAAGAUUAAUACCUCAUAAUACCUUCGGGUUAAAGCUACGGCGGUAUAAGAUGAAUGUGCGUCCCAUUAGCUAGUUGGUGAGGUAACGGCUCACCAAGGCGACGAUGGGUAGGGGGCGUGAGAGCGUGGACCCCCACACGGGUACUGAGACACGGACCCGACUCCUACGGGAGGCAGCAGUAAGGAAUAUUGGACAAUGGGCGGAAGCCUGAUCCAGCCAUCCCGCGUGGAGGAUGACUGCCCUAUGGGUUGUAAACUCCUUUUAGAUAGGAAGAAACCCCGAGAUUUAUCUUGGGCUGACGGUACUAUCAGAAUAAGCACCGGCUAACUCCG